UACAUCAUUAGAGACUACAACUGAAACACAUAUAGAGGAGUUGAUAAACAUCAUGAAGAAAGAUGGCAGAAAGAAGAUGAAUAACAAAAUAGCCAGACAAUAAUUUCAACUAGAGAUAUUUUCUUUGAUAAUGAGAGAAGCGAUUGUGCAGGAGGAGACUGAGCUGGGCUUAACUGCUGGUACUGACACAAAGCUAACUUCUGAGCAAGGCUCAUCUGGAACAGCAGUGGCACGCAGAACUGUCGACACGAUGGCAGACCUCUGAACUGUCUACACUUUGGUACUGAUGGCAGUGCCAGAGUGGACCUCACAGUACUGGAUCAUGUUCAAGUGGAUCAUGUUCGGCAGGUACAAACAUCAGUAAAAGUAGACCAAUGAAGGAGAGCCACUCCCCAACUUUGACUAAAACGUAUUUAAAUGACAUGGGACAACCUGUCUUUAUGUUAAUCAAUGCAGUGUGAACAGAAUAUUUGAAAUAAAC